UCCCUAAACCAAGGGAGCUCGUAGGCGGGCUGAGAGGAAGUAACCAAACUUCGACCUUUAUCACCUGAUUUGGGUAAUGCCAACGUAGGGACUAUACAGACACGGCCA
rnacentral:ncRNA from 2 species